CCUACGGGAGGCAGCAGUGAGGAAUAUUGGUCAAUGGACGAGAGUCUGAACCAGCCAAGUAGCGUGAAGGAUGACUGCCCUAUGGGUUGUAAACUUCUUUUAUAUGGGAAUAAAAUGUUCCACGUGUGGGAUUUUGUAUGUACCAUAUGAAUAAGGAUCGGCUAAUUCCGUGCCAGCAGCCGCGGUAAUACGGAGGAUCCGAGCGUUAUCCGGAUUUAUUGGGUUUAAAGGGAGCGUAGGUGGAUUGUUAAGUCAGUUGUGAAAGUUUGCGGCUCAACCGUAAAAUUGCAGUUGAAACUGGCAGUCUUGAGUACAGUAGAGGUGGGCGGAAUUCGUGGUGUAGCGGUGAAAUGCUUAGAGAUCACGAAGAACUCCGAUUGCGAAGGCAGUUCACUGGACUGCAACUGACACUGAGGCUCGAAAGUGUGGGUAUCAAACAGGAUUAGAUACCCGGGUAGUC
rnacentral:rRNA from 1 species